AUGAAUCCAGAAACAGAAGCAAAACUCGAUUCCAGCAAGGUUCGGAUCCUGCCUCCUUUUACUGAAAAAGAUGGGAAAGUAACACACGUAUGCCUCAUUGAGGAUUUUUACCCAAAUGUUAUUAAAGUGACUUGGGACGACGACAAGAAGAAUGUAGAGAAAAAUGCAGUGCUUGGGGAAAUUUGGCCCCCUGAUGACAAUCGACAGUCAUACUCAAUGAGCAGCUGGCUGACCGUAGAUAAAAAUAGCAACAAGAAUUAUCGCUGCAGCUAUCAACAUGAAAAAGAUACUGGUUCUGUCCCUAUCGAAUCUCAAGGCACCUCCAUAGCGCCUCAAAGCACAGCAGGCUGUACCAACCGACCUUUCACAGAGCGGUUCAUGCACAGGACGGCAUAUUUAAUAUACAUUGUCCUUCUCCUGAAAAGCACCAUGUACUACGUCAUCGUACUCUUCUUCAUGUACAGGAUGCAAAGUCCAAUCAAGCGCCAGGGAAAGAAACCUUAA